AAAGCUACUGAAAAUGGAACACAUGGGGCAAAUAAAGUUAUCUAGGCUUAUCAGGAGGAUGGAGGGAGGACACUGAUUACCUUAUCAAGCAUCAAUUCUGACAGCCUUCCUGGUGAUCCGCCCACAUCACUUAAAGCCAAGUCCUGGCCGCCACACUCCUGUACAAGUGGCCAGAUCAUCUUGCUGCUGCUCACAAUAUAUAAAAUUACUGGCGAUAACAGCCCCCGUGACGCGCUGCCCACGCCUCGAGACAGUCCUGCCGUAUUCCAUUGAAUGAGGCGUUGAGAGUACACGGAGAGGAAAGAGACCGUAUUAGACCAUGAAUAGACCCCCAAACAGGUUCCCUUGUGAAAACCGGAGCAAAUCAACAACGCAUCACCUACCACCAGCCUCGGGUGUGCUUUCGCGGCCCUCCUGCAAG